rnacentral:lncRNA from 1 species
GCACUACCAAAUUUGGGAGUAAAAAAGAAAACUAUAUUACCUACAAAUGUAUUUUUAUGACAAAACUAAAAAAAAAUGCAAAGUACAUUUUAUAGAUGUGGAAUUGGAAGUAUUCAUAUUUGGUUGCUUCUUGUACACCUGGGAUAAAUUACUAUCAAAUAAUAUUAAACAGGAAAAAAAACGAAAUGAUGAAAAUAAAAAAAAAACUAAUGAUAAAAAUUAUAAUUAUUCUGCAAGUAAUAAAAAAAUAAGUAGUUAUGGGAAUGACAUCAACAAGGAGGCCACUAUCACUAGUACUGCGACUAUUUCCCGUACAAAUAAAACCUUAUCCCAUUUUAAACAUAACAGCGCAAAGAAUUACUCAAACGAAAAUAUUAACAGAAUAAAUAAAUGUAAUAAGGAUAAAGUGAAUAAUAUAAAAUCGUACUUUAAAAAUAGACGCACUUUUUAUGAUGCUAAUUGUCAAAAAGUAUCUUACAAUUUUAAUGAAAAAUUUAUAAAAAAAUAUAAAAUAAAUACUAAUAAAUUAAAUAAAAAGUUAUUAUAUUUUAUAGAAACCAGUUUCUGCCUGAACAAUAACUUUCAUAUAUUUUAUAAUUUAUAUAAAUCUUAUAGGUAUAUAAAAGAAAAAAAAAAAAAUAAAAUAGUUAAAUUAUAUGAUCAUUUUUUUAAAUACAACAGUAGUAACGUAUGCAGUGGUAAGAUAAUUAGUAACGAAAACACCAAUAGGAUAUAUAACCCUAUCAAUAAACAAGCAGGCAUGCGAAAAAAUGUGUGCAAAACAAAUAAUAAUUGUAUAUUCUGUGAUAUGAUUUUAAACAAAGAAAAAAAAAAGAAUCACUCAAAAUUUAAAAAAUUUAUUCAUGUAUGUAAAGACAAAUUGUUCAGCAAUAAGCAUUUUAACAUGUUAAAAAUGUGUAUUAUAAAUAUAAAAACAUUCGAUGAUAAUUUAAUUCAUUCUAUAUUUUUAGAACGCUUGUUUAACUAUAUAUAUACAAAUAGUGACACAAGUUUAUUUUUCUUUUGGUUUUAUUUUUUAAACAUUUUGUUGAAUGUUACUAUUAAUAAAC